UGGCAAGGUGGUAGCUAAAGGGUGGG
rnacentral:piRNA from 1 species